GCAGAGUGGGUAUUUAAGCCCUAUUCCCUUCUCUCUCCUUUCUCUCUCUCUCUCUCUCUCUCAUACCUUUCUUCCUACUGUUUGUAAUUAAAAACUCCAUAAAAGGUUGACUGCUGACUUGAGUUUUCAUUUAGGAAUUACAUAGCUGAAUUCCUUGGCGACCUUAAAUUAAUAUAUAUCAGUCUUUUAAAGUGAUUUCCAUAUCACCCCUCCCCCCCAAUUCCAAGCAAGCAUAAGGUAUUCUCUGAUUUCUUUCAUUCAGCAGUGAAGAAAAGCUAAACUAGUACUGUGUGUGCAUACAAAAGAUGAAUGCUCUCUGUUUUUCUCACUUUUUCCUAGAGGUUUUUAGGACAGGAGGAAGAAGAAGUGCUGUGGACUUCCAGGUUAUGACUUUCUGAGGUUUAAAAUGUCAGAACCACCUAAAAAAAUCCCCAUAGCAACAGAAGCCAGUAACAACCAGUAGCUGGUCUGGUGGGGAACCAGCCCUAUGGAAUGGCCAGCUUGACUCAGCCCAGCAGUGAAUUGACCUGGCAACAGAAAAACCAUUUCCUGAAAGGAUCAAGUACCUGAGCUCUGGGGGACUGAUUUGCUAAAUCGAAUUGGAGUUGGAAGAAUGAGUCCAGAGUUUAUGCUGCAGCCAUUAAUUCCAGGUCAGAGUAACUGUGGUUCCCUAAUGUCCUUAGGUUUUUGGUUUUGUUUUUUUAUUUACCCUGCCCUCAGACAUACCAGCUGCUAUCAGUGAUAUAGUUUCUCUGGGAUUUUUUGAGCAUUUUUUUUUUAAGUUGAAGGUGAAUGACUUAAGGCAGAUUGCUCCUUUAAUUAAGCUUAAUGCCUUCUGCCAUUACUCCUUCUCAAACUGAUGAGUUUCACAUUUUUUCUCUGGGCCCAGGGGCUAUCUGGUAAUAUUGAUGUGGCAGGAGGCAUUCUUCCCAGAGUGCACUGCUUCUGCCUCAAGUCAUGUCACCCCAAAUCUCUUUCUUUUCUGGGUCUGUCAGCCCUUGAGAGUGGGGUGUGCAGCUAUUGCAUGGGCAUGUCUGUGCCAAAUGAAUGUUAUAUUCUCUGGGGUAAGAGACAUCGGCUCCAAAAUUAUGGGUUGGAGCAGACUUACUAGGAAUUUUAUCAUGUAAACUUGACAGGCUUUGUUUAGAAAAGCCUCAAGCUACAACGUCUUAUUCCUUUCAUGGUAAAGGGGGGCUCAGAGAGAUUGGGUGUUUCCAGUG